GCCGCCAUCAGGCCUCACCUCAGCUCCUCUGCUCUGCGCUGAGCAAACUGACAGCCUCAGCUGCUCCUCAUAUCUUACCAAACAUCAGAGGCCUCACUGAGAGGUUUGCUGUACCUUGAGUUUUGAUCUCACUAGCACCUUGGCAAUCUGAAUAUGAAAGUUAAAUACACAGGAAACACGGUUUCAUUACUUUUCUCGCUGUAGCAAUUAGCGUUUGCUUAGUAUAGAAUCACACUGCCUUAAUCUUGCAAGUUGCAGUCACACAGAUUCUGACAACAGCAUCCUCAACUAACUUUCUGAUUGUCUUCUGCAGGAAGUGAAGGUUUGUUGGUCCUGGCUGAACAAGUGAAAUCACAAAAGAGCCGUUCUGCAAGUACACAGAGAGGAAAUGGCCACGUCCCUGAAAAAAUGGAUUUUGUGUCUUUGUGUAAUAAAAGAAAGCGACUUGCCCCUACUCCAGUGGGACAGAAUGUGAUUAGAACCAGCGAAGGAGAAUAUGAAGACAGUGAGA